rnacentral:misc_RNA from 1 species
GAUGAAGAACGCAGCGAAAUGCGAUAAGUAAUGUGAAUUGCAGAAUUCAGUGAAUCAUCGAAUCUUUGAACGCACAUUGCGCCCCCUGGUAUUCCGGGGGGCAUGCCUGUUCGAGCGUCAUUACAACCCUCAAGCUCAGCUUGGUGUUGGGCCCCGCCGCCCCGGCGGGCCCUAAAGUCAGUGGCGGUGCCGUCCGGCUCCGAGCGUAGUAAUUCUUCUCGCUCUGGAGGUCCGGUCGUGUGCUCGCCAGCAACCCCCAAUUUUUUUCAGGUUGACCUCGGAUCAGGUAGGGAUACCCGCUGAACUUAAGCAUAUCAAUAAGCGGAGGA